AGCGGAGGAAAAGAAACUAACUAGGAUGCCCUUAGUAACGGCGAGCGAACCGGGCAAAGCCCAACUUGAAAAUCUCCAGCCUCCGGCUGGCGAAUUGUAGUCUAGAGAAGUGCUCUCUGCCCCAGUCUGGUCCCAAGUCCCCUGGAAAGGGGCGUCAGAGAGGGUGAGAACCCCGUUGGGUCCGGAUCCUGGUGCUCCACGAGACGCUUUCGAAGAGUCGGGUUGUUUGGGAAUGCAGCCCAAAGCAGGUGGUAAAUCCCAUCUAAGGCUAAAUACAGACGGGAGACCGAUAGCGAACAAGUACCGCGAGGGAAAGAUGAAAAGAACUUUGAAAAGAGAGUUAAAAAGUACUUGAAAUUGUUGAGAGGGAAGCGAUUGGAUCCUACGGGUGCGCCCAGGCACACGCCUGCCUAACGGUUGGCUGAAUGCGCUGGGUGCUGGUCAGCAUGGGUUGACCGGGCGGGACAAACCCGGGGGUUGUUACCCCGGCUAUGUCGCCUGGUCGACUGAGGAAUGAAGGGCGCUCUCUGAGUCCUCCGGGAACUGCGUCCUCAAGAUGCUGGCGGAAAGGUUCCAAUCGGCCCGUCUUGAAACACGGACCAAGGAGUCUAACAUGCAUGCGAGCUGGUGGGUGGCAAACCCAUGAAGCGUAAGUAACCUGACUGGUGGGAUGGCCUGUGCCUGCACCAUCGACCGACCAUGAUCUUCUGUGAAAGGUUCGAGUACGAGCAUGCCUGUUGGGACCCGAAAGAUGGUGAACUAUGCCUGAGCAGGGCGAAGCCAGAGGAAACUCUGGUGGAGGCUCGUAGAUGUGCUGACGUGCAAAUCGCUUUUCGGACUUGGGUAUAGGGGCGAAAGACUAAUCGAACCUUCUAGUA
rnacentral:rRNA from 1 species